UACGGAGGGUGCAAGCGUUAUCCGGAUUCACUGGGUUAAAGGGUGCGUAGGUGGGUUGGUAAGUCAGUGGUGAAAUCUCCAGGCUUAACUUGGGAAACUGCCAUUUGAUACUAUCAAUCUUGAAUACCUGGAGGUCAGCGGAAUAUGUCAUGUAGCGGUGAAAUGCUUAGAUAUGACAUAGAACACCAAUUGCGAAGGCAGCUGGCUACACGAAUAUUGACACUGAUGCACA
rnacentral:rRNA from 1 species